rnacentral:misc_RNA from 1 species
AAGAAGAAGAAGAAAGAAAGGAAUCGAAUGUCAACCAAACGAAAUUACACAUAUAGUGCAGGAGAAACUAUGGUUUAGCAGACAAAAAGAGGAGAAAAACAAAUAUGAAACCCUUUAAGAUACGUAAACAGUAAAAGAAGGCAGCAAAAACAAUAAAGAGAUGGCAUUUAUAGAGAGAAAAUUGGAAAGUAUCAAGGGACAUGUUUUUUCCAAAUUUAGAACAGUUAACACAUUCUGCUGUGGUCUGCAGAUGUCAAAAGCCAAAGAUGAAAACUUUGCAUCCAUAGGGAUGCUAAAAUAUGGAGAAUCAUAACUUAUAACAUUUAGAAAGCACACAACAUGGCAAAGAAAACAAG